CUUAUUGCCUGCAAAGCUGCCUGAAAAAGUAGUUUCUCAAGAAAAGCAGUUUCUCAAGAAACAUUUCAGUAAUAAAUGAAUGAGUGAAAUGGUGUGUAAGCCAUAACCAUCUUAGAAACAGCUGUGAAAUCAAGCAUGCUGGCUGGGAGAUGUGGCUCCUCUCCGCGGCACAGUGUCUAUAUCACUGAUCAGGUGGACAGAUAGUCCCAGAAGGAGGCCCUCACCAACCCAUUUCCCCAGACACAGUCAGAACUGGGGUCAGCUGCAGAGAUGGGAACCGCAAGAGGAAGGAGACCCUUAACAAGGACCAGGAAAGUGGUGUAUGCAUAAAGAAAGGAAGCUGUUCUUGAAAUGUGCCAGUGACCUCAUCCCUGUCCCUGAGGCCAGCAUGAGUGCUUGCAGUGCAAGUGACCCAUCUGCCAGGGUGACCUCAGGCCUCGGACUAACAGCAAAUAAAGCCAUGAACACACUGUUCUCUGGACACUUUUGCAAUUUUUCCUUUCCAGGGCCUACAGCUCUAGACUUGAGACCUGCAACUCUUCCCCUUUGUUCACUAUGACUCUAACAAAUUUAAAACAUGUCAGUUCUCUCCAACCCCAAGAAAUGUGAAUAAAUGUUUCCGAAAACCAGA
ensembl:lncRNA novel transcript, antisense to EYA4